rnacentral:rRNA from 1 species
CGGGACACGUGGUAUCCUGUCUGAAUAUGGGGGGACCAUCCUCCAAGGCUAAAUACUCCUGACUGACCGAUAGUGAACCAGUACCGUGAGGGAAAGGCGAAAAGAACCCCGGCGAGGGGAGUGAAAAAGAACCUGAAACCGUGUACGUACAAGCAGUGGGAGCCUCUUUAUGGGGUGACUGCGUACCUUUUGUAUAAUGGGUCAGCGACUUAUAUUCUGUAGCAAGGUUAACCGAAUAGGGGAGCCGAAGGGAAACCGAGUCUUAACUGGGCGUUAAGUUGCAGGGUAUAGACCCGAAACCCGGUGAUCUAGCCAUGGGCAGGUUGAAGGUUGGGUAACACUAACUGGAGGACCGAACCGACUAAUGUUGAAAAAUUAGCGGAUGACUUGUGGCUGGGGGUGAAAGGCCAAUCAAACCGGGAGAUAGCUGGUUCUCCCCGAAAGCUAUUUAGGUAGCGCCUCGUGAAUUCAUCUCCGGGGGUAGAGCACUGUUUCGGCAAGGGGGUCAUCCCGACUUACCAACCCGAUGCAAACUGCGAAUACCGGAGAAUGUUAUCACGGGAGACACACGGCGGGUGCUAACGUCCGUCGUGAAGAGGGAAACAACCCAGACCGCCAGCUAAGGUCCCAAAGUCAUGGUUAAGUGGGAAACGAUGUGGGAAGGCCCAGACAGCCAGGAUGUUGGCUUAGAAGCAGCCAUCAUUUAAAGAAAGCGUAAUAGCUCACUGGUCGAGUCGGCCUGCGCGGAAGAUGUAACGGGGCUAAACCAUGCACCGAAGCUGCGGCAG